rnacentral:snRNA from 1 species
AGAUGUGAGGGCAUUCUGGCUGUGACAUCUGUCACCCCACUGAUCACCAGGGUUGAUUCAGCUGACCAGGCUGGCUAGGCCGGUGUCCGCUUCCUCCCUCAAUGCUCCACAUGUGUCCCUCUCAAAGCUGCGAGCUAAGCUGAAGAGAACAACCUUCCCCAAUAGAGGAGGACUAGCCUUAGGUCAAGGGUAUAUGAGUAGCUUUGCUCCCCUGCUAGAACCUCCAAACAAGCUCUCAAAAGCAUUCCCAGAUUCACUUGAUCUUUUGAAAAGUCCAUUUUGCUGUACUCAGUUUAACAAAGCGAAACAGUACUCUGCAAAAGAAAACAAAGUU